AGGACAAAUGAGUGAACAUUUAUACAGAAACAGGUGUGCUUUUGCUGUCCUUCAUGUCUAUGCCAUGAUUUAUAAAGACAGAGACCUAUUGACUGCUGAAGAAAAAAACUUAAAAGUGAAGAAAAAAAAUUCUCACUCUCCUGAUAGUGGUCUGCUUCCCCAAGGAGGUGGCUGUUAGUCAUUCAAAGGGCAUCAAACAGCAGCACACCUGAAGCUAAGGAAACCAGAGGGCAGACCAGGCAGCCUGACAAGCAGCAGAUAGGGUGUCUGUGGAACCCCUUCCUGUUUUUCUCAUUGCUUUUUCUGAUCCACAGCUCCUUCCCCAACCUACCCACUCCCAGGAAGAAGAGAAGAAGGCUUGCUCCCAGGAUGCAAAAUAAGGUCCAACUGAAUGGUAGAUCUUGCCAGACUCAAGAAUUAUCUUCCCCAAGGCCCCUUUGGUCCACAUUGCAGUCCACUGUAGGGUUUGAGACACCUUUCUGGUUUCCUUCUUGGUGCCCCAUCAUUCAUUUUGACCCUGGGAACCAAAUGUGCAUCGAGAAGUUUCAGAAAGGACUGACUUGCCUGGAAAGGAUCUCAUACUGUCAUCCUGACAGCACCAACUGCAGUCAAAGGUUGUGGGAUCCCUAACUGGAUUCAUCACUCCUGCGCUAAGCCUGCUCCAGACCAGGAUGGGAAAUGGACCAGAGCCACUCAGGCCAAGACUCUCUCCAGAUGGGCACUGAUGAAAGACGAAAGACACAGUUCUACUGAAGUCCAACUUGGUGAACAGAGGUGCUCAGUAGAAUGGCUGAGGAGUUUCUUGUAGGAGCACGGAUGACUGAGAGACAGCUGCAUCACCAGAAGCCCACUGUAGCACCGGUGAAGACUCAUAAAAGCUUGCAUCCCUGGAGUUCUCUGAAUGACCUUCAGGCAGCAUGGCAGC